CCCGGGCAGUCAGCCUCUGCCCGGGGGCAGCCAGCGGUUUUGUAAUUAAUGACAGUAACCCGCUUUUCUGCCCCCCAGGAUCCUCACGACCAUCCCCAUUCUACCGAGGAGAAAACUGAGGCAGGCGAUGUCACAAGGCAAAGUGUCUGCAGCUGGAUUUGAACCCAAGGCCAUCCUUGUCCCCACCGGGCCACCUGAGAGCCCUGGGCAUUCAGUGGGCGAUAGGGAACACUGGAAGAGCCCCUCCCUGGAAGCCAGAUGGGAGGCAAGAGGCAGGCGGCGUUGAUGGAGGCUGGCCGAGCCUGGGCCUCUGGACGGUAGCUUGGAGUUGAGGCCAGGAGCCCAAUUAGGAAGUGAUGGCCUUAGUCCGAGGGGUGCGAGGAGCCCUGGACUGGAAGACUCCCCUUUGUCAAUCUCCUUGCGUCUAUAGGUCAGCCCAGCCUCGCCUCAUGGGGGUGAUGUGACCUCACACCCUGCUCUUGUCACUCAAGAAACCUCCAUCAGCCACAUAAGGAAACCUGUCCCUUUAGCGAGGACCAAAGCCUCAAAGGGCAGGAGGUGGCAUGAAUCCGUGCCCAGCCACCGCCCGCCCCACCCUCUGAGCGGGCUGCUGCAUUUCGGCCCCCAGAGAAACGGUCCUUCAACCCUUUGCUUCAUCUGGACCAGGCGGGCUGCUGCCUUCCCCCCUGGCAUGGAGGCUCUGCCUUUGGCAGGCCGAACACUCACCAGCAGUCGCCUUUUCGUUAGUCCAGACGAGGUUCUUGGCCUUCACUACCACCACAGUGAGUCGCUCAGCCGUGGGCAGGUAGCUGAGAGAGAGCAAGAUUUCGCCCACCGAAUCGGAGACCUGGAAAACCACACAGAGCAUCCUAAUGGGCCUGCAAGGCUUCAUUUUCAAAGGAAGUUUGGAGCCCACACUCCAAACUUAAGGCCUCCCUCUUGGAGAUCCUGCCCCAACAUCCCCCAGGUGGUAUGUGCCCCACGGGGCCUGGCCAGCCAGGGCACAGCAUCCUCCCUAGCUCAGACCAGGGUAGGGAAAGCCUAUCUGAAUGAAUGAGUGGCCAUUCUUAAAGAAGUGCACUUUGAUUGCCUUUGAAUAUAGCCGGUGAUGUGAAUUAGCUAACAAAGUGGUGCCUAGUGACCUUUAGAGAGAGGGUCUGCUUUCAGGGAAUAGGUGGGAAUAUCUGGCAUUGAUAGAGGUUUUCAAAGUGCUCAUUGGAUCCUCACAACAACCCUGGGAAGUAAGUGGGGUUAUCCUCAGUUUACUAAUGAGGAAACUGAGUCAGAGAGGUGAUUUAACUUGCCCAGGAGCAUUUGGGAGGGGGUUUCCGAAGUCGGUUCUCUAACUACAGUCAGCUGGCUACAAGAAGCAGCAUUUCAUUUGUUUGUAAACAGGCCCUUUCUUCCUCAGUAGCUUCCAAAUCUCACGUACUCCCUCUCCCCCAGUCUUCUGUGGACAGUGGAGGAUGUUCCUCUGGGCUGAACCUCCGUGCUCUCUGAGACAACCCUCUCUGUGCACUCAGGUUCUCCGCCCUUCCUCUGUUGGGUCCCCACCCUCACCGUGCCCCCCUAUCCCCAAGGCACAGGCCUACCCCAACUGCCAAAGCCCCUUACCUUGUUCACAUCCUGCAGAUAGAGCCAGCCACAGAAAGGCUGCUGGGGCAGCUCUAGGACGGACAGCUUCAGGUCGACCACGCCGGUCAUGACAUUGCGAUCAUCAUCAUCAAUGCCAUAGACAGAGAAGCGCAAGCUGCUUUCCUCCAGGACAGAGGGAUCCACGGUGAUGACGAACUUCUCAUCAAAGAAAAUGGAGUAAGCGGUUCGUUGGAUCUGCAGAGGCAGGAAGAAAGCAGAGCCUCUCUCUGUGGAAUGGAACUUGGCAGGUGAACAUGAAGCAGCCUUCUCAUUCCCCUCCCCUUCUCAAUUGAAGCCAUUCGUUAAAGGUGUAAGACAACAGGUAGCCACCGAGACCUCUGGAGAGAGGAAGACUUCCUUCGCCCUUUCUUCCCACAGCCCUCACCCGGUUCUGGGCCCCCAGCUGGCAACCACUGCUAAAGACUCAUUGAGCUGAAGGUCCUUAGAAGGGCCUGGACCAAGCAGCAGAGGAGAAUGCUGACCAUACACACUUCCUGGGGCUGCCAGCUGCCCACCUAGGCUCAGAUUUGCCCAGGCCAAUGCCAACUCCCUCCUGAGGGGCUUCCCCUGGCCUGGAUCUAAGCCACAGAGCUACAGAAGCUGUGUUUUGAACUGGUACCAAACCGAGCACAAGGAGAGGAGUGACUGGGAGCAAAAGGGCAGGGGAGGUCUGGUCCUUCCUGUGGGACCUUUUGGGGGUGGGUCCUGAAGUCCCACCUAUAGGGAGACCCCACUUGUGGAUGUGCGCCCAAGAGGAGGGAAAUGGGUCAGAACCCACCAUAAGCAAAAUGGCAGGUGCAGUGGGAUGGCUUCCUUGCCCUAGCUCUUUUGGCACCCAACCCAUCCCUUGGGGUGCCUGCCUACACCCCUACUACACCUGGGCAAACUUCAUUUCCCUGCCAAGGUCUUGGCUUCUUCCUCCAGAGAAUAAGGGGAUCAGAUCAGAUGAUCUGUUCUGGUCCCUUUCAAUGCUGACAUUCUAGAGUCUGUGUUCUCAGGUGCUUCCCAGCUCUUAAUGGCCUGCAGUCUUGUGUUCUAAGGCCCCUCCUGGUUCUGACAUUCUCUGUUCUAAGGUCUCUUCCAGACCUGACAUUAUGUUCAAAGGCCUCUCUCAGCUCUGACAUUUUCUAUGUCUAAGGCCUCUCCUAGAUCUGACGUUACAUGUUCUAAGGUGACAGUCUCUGCUCCAAGGUUCUUCCCAUCCUUGACAUUAUGUUCUAAGGUCCCUCCCAGCCCUGACACUCUGUAUGCUAGGGUAAAACUAUAUUUCUAAGGUCCCUUCCAGACCUGACAUUUUGUGUUGUAAGGUCCCUCCCACCU